CCCUUAGAUGUUCUGGGCCACACGCGCGCUACACUGACGAAGUCAGCGAGCAUGUCCUACGCCGACAGGUGCGGGGAAUCUUGUCAAACUUCGUCGUGAUGGGGAUUGAUUUUUGAAAUUCUUGAUCAUAAACGAGGAAUUCCUAGUAAGCGCAAGUCAGCAGCUUGCGUUGAUUACGUCCCUGCCCUUUGUACACACCGCCCGUCGCUACUACCGAUUGAAUGGUUUAGUGAGAUCUUCGGAUUGGCGCCACUGCAGCUCAGCAAUGGGCUUGGUGGAUGCCGAAAAGUUGAUCAAACUUGAUCAUUUAGAGGAAGUAAAAGUCGUAACA
rnacentral:rRNA from 1 species